rfam:Enterococcus thailandicus strain F0711D 46 Ent-16_S35_L001_001_2, whole genome shotgun sequence.
GUUUUCGGGUAAUCGCGGUCUGACUUGAUCAGGCUGAGGAAAGUCCAUGCUCGCACAGACUGUGAUGUCUGUAGUGUUCGUGCUUAGCGAAAAGAUAAGCUAAGGUACUCUAAGGAGUAACGGCAGGAAAACGAGCUAAGGUUUCGACUAUGCUUUAGUAUCCUUGAAAGUGCCACAGUGACGAAGCGAAUCGGGAAACUUAUUCGGUGGAACGCGGUAAACCCCUCGAGCGAGCAACCCAAACAAUGGUAGGGGCGCUUUUUGCUAGGAAUCAGAACAAGGCAAAAGGGCAGGUAAACUGCAGAUAGAUGGUUACCCCUUUAUUUCUUCUCCCUGGAGGAAUAAAGGACAAAACAUGGCUUACAGAA